rnacentral:rRNA from 1 species
AUGAAGUUCGGCAAGGAUUUCCGGAGCCACCUGGAGGGCACGCUGCCGGACUGGAAGGACAAGUACCUCGCCUACAAGGCGCUCAAGAAGCUCAUCAAGACGCUGCCGCCCGACGCCCUCGCCGCCGACCAGCCGCCGCCCCCGCCUCCCCUGCCCCCGCCCGGGCGCGGUGACGGCGGCCUCGGGGACUGGUUCGCCCGGAUCCUCGACGUCGAGCUCCACAAGCUCAACGACUUCUACAUGGAGAGGGAGGAGUGGUACGUCAUCCGCCUCCAGGUGCUAAAGGAGAGGAUUGAGCGAGUCAAAGCUAAGAAGAAUGGUGCUUUUACAUCCAAAACUGAGUUCACUGAAGAAAUGUUAGAGAUACGUAGAGAUUUCGUGCUUAUCCACGGCGAAAUGAUACUUCUACAGACCUACAGCUCCCUGAAUUUUGCUGGGCUGGUGAAGAUACUGAAGAAGUAUGACAAAAGAACAGGCGGCGUUCUCAGCCUACCUUUCACUCAGCGAGCUCGCCACCAACCAUUUUUCACCACUGAGCCGUUAACAAGACUUGUUCGAGAAUGUGAGGCUAAUCUUGAAAUCCUUUUCCCUGUCGAAGAUGAAGUACUCGAGUCUGGUUCCUCUUCAAAGGCUCACAAUGAUGCGGCUAGUCGUGACCCAGCUUCAUCUUGCGACGCAGAAACCUCAGAGGUGUACCGAAGCACACUCGCAGCAAUGAAAGCGAUAGAGGGCCUCAAGAAAGCCAGCUCUACUUACAAUGCCCUGUCUCUCGCUAGGUUCUUCCAUGGAGAGGAUGGUGAAGCUUGUUCGGGCGCCAUAACUUCUGAGAGCUCGCUGUCAAAUUCCUUGACAGAUUCCCAGGUUGAAGAUGCAGAUAAGGACGAUAAGGAGGUGCAAUCAAAGGAGCAGAGCUCUGCUCAGACUGACCAUAACGCGGAAGCGGAGCGACGCGGUGGAUAA